rnacentral:rRNA from 1 species
GAUGAACGCUGGCGGCGUGCCUAAUACAUGCAAGUCGAGCGAACAGACGAGGAGCUUGCUCCUCUGACGUUAGCGGCGGACGGGUGAGUAACACGUGGAUAACCUACCUAUAAGACUGGGAUAACUUCGGGAAACCGGAGCUAAUACCGGAUAAUAUAUUGAACCGCAUGGUUCAAUAGUGAAAGACGGUUUUGCUGUCACUUAUAGAUGGAUCCGCGCCGCAUUAGCUAGUUGGUAAGGUAACGGCUUACCAAGGCAACGAUGCGUAGCCGACCUGAGAGGGUGAUCGGCCACACUGGAACUGAGACACGGUCCAGACUCCUACGAGAGGCAGCAGUAGGGAAUCUUCCGCAAUGGGCGAAAGCCUGACGGAGCAACGCCGCGUGAGUGAUGAAGGUCUUCGGAUCGUAAAACUCUGUUAUUAGGGAAGAACAAAUGUGUAAGUAACUAUGCACGUCUUGACGGUACCUAAUCAGAAAGCCACGGCUAACUUCGUG